GCUGAAUCUGUCUUCGAUCCCCUCUGAGCCUGUCCUCCUAACCACCUACCAGGCGACCCUCCCUACAUGGGAAGUACCCCCGAUAGGAAUCAGGACAAAUCGGUUAUACCCUCACAUGCAUGACCAUACUGACACUACCAACCCGUGAUCCCACGAACACCAACAUCACACAAUAGACGCAUAGGAUUGUAACGGUCAGGGUAGCACUUCCUGUAUGUAUAUAUCUUCACACCUAACCACUUGGAAAAGAAAAAAGGGGGGUGGUCGGAUAAACACCUUGGGAAGAAACACCGGACAAUUACAACGCGACCUCAUGGACUGAACGCCUGAGAGAUAGCGUAGGAACUGGAGAGUCC